CGAAGUCGAUGGUAGUAAAACGCACGCAACGUAACAGCGAAGUUACUUUUGAGGCAUUAAGUAUAACACUAGCUUAGGAGUUAUGAUGGAUAUUUGUUGCUAAAGCAAACGUGGAAUAAGUGAACAUUGAACUUUUUUCAAACAUGGUUGACAGAAACUUUUCUCACACGACGCGGCUGAGGUUGUCGCCGCUCGUGCUCACGGACAGUGUCGGGGUAAAUUGGAUAUUCUCAUUGUGCUGCAUUAUCUUGAUACUAAGUGUGUUCGCUCCGUCCCACGUAGAGGCGAUGCCCGGUCCGUUCCUGUGUAAUUCGCAGAUCACGUGCCUCAAUGGCGGCACACUCGUAACCCCGGAUAACCCAUUUGACUUUUGUCGGUGCCAUUGCCCCAAGCGAUUCGCUGGAUUGCACUGCGAGUUCACCCGAAAGGUCCAACGAAAUGACAGAUUAAAACGAUUGGUCAGGAUUAAAAAUGAAAUUGCCGCCAUUUUAAACCAGCGUCACUUACGGAGAUGACCAUAGCCCACGUGAUAUUAGUUUAUUUAUUUAUUCGUAUAAAACGGGUCACCAUUUUCGAGUCGUGUUGCGCGAGGGACGGGAAAGAAAACAGGCCAGUCGGAUUGACCUAUUCAAACUCCACGAAAUCAUUACAAACUGGUGGUGAUGCCAGAAGGCGCCAAACACUAUCAUAAAAACCACUUCCGCUUCCAACUAUAUUCUCUGAAAUUGCAAACUGUGAUGAGGCACGAAUACAUGAGCGUUGAUGAAAAGUAUCCAUGGACAUAUUUCCAUUAAACCGGUGUCAUUUAAGACAAGGAAAAAUUAACUCAGCGGGUUUAUUCAUAACUUAGCCAACCUGUAAACACCCGGAUGUUUCCAUUCAUAUCACUUCAUUUACGGAAGGUAAGGGACAAUCAACCAUGAAAUACGUGGAUUUUUUAUAGAUGAAUUGAAGAUAGUGCUUGGAAACCUAUUGACGUGGACAUUAUCAGGAUGUCUUCACACAAUAGGACGCUGUCCCCAGGGAUGAAGACCGAUAUCGCGCCUUAGAAAGUUUUUAAUUGAAUACACGAAUUAUUACAAAGGCCGCAUUAAUCCUAUAGACACGCACAUAAAGACGGUGAUGGAAGUGUUUUUCAGGCAUGAAUGUUCGGCGAAAACUCGUCUCUCAAGGAUUAUCACAGUUCCGGACACUGAUAUUUACGAUACCCUCGCGACUCCUCGCAUUUAUAGAAACUUCCGAAUAUCAGAAAAAUGCAGAUUAAUCUAGAAUUGUUAAGAAAUCCGCGUUUGAUUAUGUGCAACAACAAGUCUGUUGUCUUUAAAUUAUGUAUUUUGUUUGUUCUACCUUGUCUUUCAUAUCCUUCGGGAAACUUGUUUUAUUUAUAGAUAUUUAUUUUAUUAUUUAAAUCGUUCAAAUCUGUCAUCUUUUUGCUCACGUUUCAAAUACUCACUACCGUACAGCAAUAUCACAUUCCAGUUGCAUUUUUAUGUCCCAUCACCUCAUCGACGUUUCAUGAUUUUUAUUUUACCGAUUUUUUAUUUAUAGCUUACGCUCUGUUUGACAUUAGUGUAGCUCUUUUUGUAGAAGUUGUAGUUAUUUUGGUCUGAUUUAAGACUCUUAUAGUGCCAUAAAUUUUUCCAGCGUUUGUUCAAUAUGUUUGAAAUAAAAACAGACUUAAACCUAGUUCCAUUCGGAACAUUUGUUUUAAAUCAAGGGCCAAAAUGAAUAUAUAGCGACUUAUUGUACCUACGUUUGGAUUCAUAUAUCAACUCUUAAAAUAAAAAUGUUUUUUUAUAAGAACGGCACAUCGUAUAACUCAAAACUAAACUUUUUUUUACUUACAAUACAUUUUGAUCGAAAAUUUGUUUAAAUGGCAAAACGCCGGUUCAUGUGAUUUAUAUUUGUCUAUUUUGUCGCUUCAAAGACAUAGUUUUUACGUUUAUUUGUAUACUAUUUAUCAUUUUUGACAUUUUUCAUCUUAUUUAUGUCAUUUGUCUAAUUUUCACAGUUUUCUAGUCCAACACUCAUAUAAACCAUUAAACACAUUUAGAUAUUAAAUGGUACCGAAUGAACGUUUAAAAUGAUAUUCACACUUAAACUCUUUUUAUCUGGACAUGACAAGAAAGAAGAACGCAUUUCCAGCUCAGAGAUCACUUUCAGAGCAUGACCUUACACUUUACUAUUUGGCUCUGGUGACAUAGCACUGAUGUACCCCAUGUUCUCAGGCUACACGCAACCAAAUCUACCCCUCCAUUCGGACAUCUUAUGUUCCAAAUCUCCUGUUGUCACAUCACCCCCACAUCGUUUCAUUAAUUUAUUUCUCAUACUUUGUGCCAUUUACUCUCGCGGACCCCACUCGCUUUUGUCACUCAUGUUAUUUAAGCCACCAUUGUUCGUCUCAUAGUUGUGUUACGAUGUUUUAUUACCUCCCCAGCGGAGAUUCGCUUUCAAUUUGUUUAAAUACAACAGGCUAGAAUCAGAACUUUGAAAUGUCAAUAUACAUCCAUACAUCCCCAGCAAUUCAAACAGUUAAACAUUUUAAUGCAGAUAUUCGGUAGGCACGUAUUGUACUGCAUUUGACAGAUAAUAAAAAUCUCUAUGUGAUAUAUAUUCUCUUGAGGGGUAUUUUAAAUAAAAUGUAUUUUACAUAAUUCUCUGGAUUACAGUGUAAUGAGAGAAACAGAAGUACGUUUGAUGACAAUGUUUCAAAGUUUAAUUUGGAAACAUGAGAACAUCUUAUAUUCUUUGUAAAGGACUUCAAAGUCCCGUUGAGAGAAGAAAUGAUGAAAUAAAAAAAGUAAAACUUAA